rnacentral:rRNA from 1 species
UACAGAGGUCUCAAGCGUUGUUCGGAUUCAUUGGGCGUAAAGGGUGCGUAGGCGGCGCGGUAAGUCGGGUGUGAAAUCUCGGAGCUUAACUCCGAAACUGCAUUCGAUACUGCCGUGCUUGAGGACUGGAGAGGAGACUGGAAUUUAGGUGUAGCGGUGAAAUGCGUAGAGAUCAUGAGGAAGACCAGUGGCGAAGGCGGGUCUCUGGACAGUUCCUGACACUGAGACACGAAGGCCAGGGGAGCAAACGGG